ACGCUUGUGGGGGGAUUAGUGGCGAACGGGUGAGUAACACGUGAGUAACCUGCCCUUAACUCUGGGAUAAGCCUGGGAAACUGGGUCUAAUACCGGAUAUGACUCCUCAUCGCAUGGUGGGGGGUGGAAAGCUUUAUUGUGGUUUUGGAUGGACUCGCGGCCUAUCAGCUUGUUGGUGAGGUAAUGGCUCACCAAGGCGACGACGGGUAGCCGGCCUGAGAGGGUGACCGGCCACACUGGGACUGAGACACGGCCCAGACUCCUACGGGAGGCAGCAGUGGGGAAUAUUGCACAAUGGGCGAAAGCCUGAUGCAGCGACGCCGCGUGAGGGAUGACGGCCUUCGGGUUGUAAACCUCUUUCAGUAGGGAAGAAGCGAAAGUGACGGUACCUGCAGAAGAAGCGCCGGCUAACUACGUGCCAGCAGCCGCGGUAAUACGUAGGGCGCAAGCGUUAUCCGGAAUUAUUGGGCGUAAAGAGCUCGUAGGCGGUUUGUCGCGUCUGCCGUGAAAGUCCGGGGCUCAACUCCGGAUCUGCGGUGGGUACGGGCAGACUAGAGUGAUGUAGGGGAGACUGGAAUUCCUGGUGUAGCGGUGAAAUGCGCAGAUAUCAGGAGGAACACCGAUGGCGAAGGCAGGUCUCUGGGCAUUAACUGACGCUGAGGAGCGAAAGCAUGGGGAGCGAACAGGAUUAGAUACCCUGGUAGUCCAUGCCGUAAACGUUGGGCACUAGGUGUGGGGGACAUUCCACGUUUUCCGCGCCGUAGCUAACGCAUUAAGUGCCCCGCCUGGGGAGUACGGCCGCAAGGCUAAAACUCAAAGGAAUUGACGGGGGCCCGCACAAGCGGCGGAGCAUGCGGAUUAAUUCGAUGCAACGCGAAGAACCUUACCAAGGCUUGACAUGAACCGGUAAUACCUGGAAACAGGUGCCCCGCUUGCGGUCGGUUUACAGGUGGUGCAUGGUUGUCGUCAGCUCGUGUCGUGAGAUGUUGGGUUAAGUCCCGCAACGAGCGCAACCCUCGUUCUAUGUUGCCAGCGCGUGAUGGCGGGGACUCAUAGGAGACUGCCGGGGUCAACUCGGAGGAAGGUGGGGACGACGUCAAAUCAUCAUGCCCCUUAUGUCUUGGGCUUCACGCAUGCUACAAUGGCCGGUACAAAGGGUUGCGAUACUGUGAGGUGGAGCUAAUCCCAAAAAGCCGGUCUCAGUUCGGAUUGGGGUCUGCAACUCGACCCCAUGAAGUCGGAGUCGCUAGUAAUCGCAGAUCAGCAACGCUGCGGUGAAUACGUUCCCGGGCCUUGUACACACCGCCCGUCAAGUCACGAAAGUUGGUAACACCCGAAGCCGGUGGCCUAACCCCUUGU
rnacentral:rRNA from 1 species